GGAUUUGCAAUCCUCUGCCUUACCACUUGGCCAUGUCGCCGUUUUUUUUUUU
rnacentral:tRNA from 1 species